GUCCAGGCGCCGCGUGGCUAUCAGCUCCCCCGACUCGGGGUCCACGUGGAAGCUGUCAUCUGCCCCGCUGAUAAUGGUGUUAAAUUAAAUCCCUGCCAGUGGGAUCAGCUCUGCCUUUCUUGCUCUCUGGAGAUGGGCAGGGGGGACCUGGGGCAGCCAUGUGGCAGCACUUCCAGCCACAGCUCAUGGUCAGGAGAAACUCAUGGAGGCUGUGCUUGCAGCAGCCCCUCAAAGGGGCCACCAAUUGCCAAGCUGCUCUCACUUGAUCACCAGGAUGAUCCCAGACACAGAGGAAAUAUUAUAUUAGUAUUAAUGUAAUAUAAAUAUCAUAGCUAUAUGUGCUGGAAGUGGAGACAACACAGGGGUCUUUUACAGAAGGCCAUUAUUUAUUUAUUUAUCCCCUGUUUAAUCCCUUUGGCCAUUCAAAAAUGGUACACAAACCAGUUCACAGCCUGAGACAGAUCAACCCAGAAGGUUUUAUCAUUAAAUUCAUAUCCCUGAGCAGAGCAUCACGAGCAGUGACUGACAACCACCUCACCUGACACAAACUUUAGAGAAGAAGCCAGCCUGGGCUGGUUUUCAAGGAGACUGGGUGACAAUUAAUCACAGAAAGGGGAGGGACGUGGUGGAAAUGACAGAUGAGGGAUGCUGCCAGGCCUCCUUGCCCAUGAACUGGCACACAGCACACUCUUCCUGAUUUCCUCCCCAAAGUGCAGCAUUUCCCCAGACAGGGUUGCAAGGAAAAGCAGCUGCACAGCUCUGCAGCUCAUUUAUUCCUACCACACAUGUCAUUCACAGCUAAUGUUUCAGCUGCAGGUGACAUUUCACCACCAGAACCCAUUUUCAUUAUGAGAGAUUGCCCUUUGUGCAAAUCACAUGAAAAAUAUGUGACAACUUCUGGGGGGUUUGGGAGAGGAGCUGUGCAUUGCCUACAGCUUGAAUAAUGUAAAAUAGUGAGGAUCCAAGAAUACA